UUUUAUUUUUAAUUUUAUAAAGGCACAUUUACAUUGCUGUGUAUUUAUUGUUUAUAUUCUAAAUGACUAUUUCCUUUUUAACAACUAUAGGCUGCAGUUUGAAAAGUUUGGAUCUUGAUAGCUGCACUCUUUCAGAAAUCCUCAGACUGCACAUCUUAGCUUCAGGUGCUGAUGUAACAUCAGCAAAUGCAAAGUAUAGAUAUCAAAAACGAGGAGGAUUUGAUGCUACAGAUGAUGCUUGUAUGGAGCUUCGUUUGAGCAAUCCCAGUCUAGUGAAGAAACUGUCAAGCACCUCAGUGUAUGAUUUGACACCAGGAGAAAAAAUGAAGAUACUCCAUGCUCUCUGUGGAAAGCUACUGACCCUAGUUUCAACUAGGGAUUUUAUUGAAGAUUAUGUUGAUAUAUUACGACAGGCGAAGCAGGAGUUCCGGGAAUUAAAAGCAGAACAACAUCGAAAAGAGAGGGAAGAAGCAGCUGCCAGAAUUCGUAAAAGGAAGGAAGAAAAACUUAAGGAGCAAGAACAAAAAAUGAAAGAGAAACAAGAAAAACUGAAAGAAGAUGAGCAAAGAAAUUCAACGGCAGAUAUAUCUAUUGGAGAGGAAGAAAGGGAAGAUUUUGAUACUAGCAUUGAGAGCAAAGACACAGAGCAAAAGGAAUUAGAUCAAGAUAUGGUCACUGAAGAUGAAGAUGACCCAGGAUCACAUAAAAGAGGCAGAAGGGGUAAUACUG
rnacentral:sRNA from 1 species